UACGGAGGGUGCGAGCGUUGUCCGGAAUCACUGGGCGUAAAGGGCGCGUAGGCGGCCCGGUAAGUAGGAGGUGAAAUCCUGCGGCUUAACCGCAGGGCUGCCUUCUAAACUGCCAGGCUUGAGCACAGUAGAGGCAGGUGGAAUUCCGGGUGUAGCGGUGGAAUGCGUAGAGAUCCGGAAGAACACCGGAGGCGAAGGCGGCUUGCUGGGCUCGGUCUGACGCUGAGGCGCGAAAGCGUGGGGAGCGAACAGG
rnacentral:rRNA from 1 species